AGGGUUUGAUCAUGGCUCAGGAUGAACGCUAGCGGCAGGCUUAACACAUGCAAGUCGAGGGGUAACAGGGAGCUUGCUCUGCUGACGACCGGCGCACGGGUGCGUAACGCGUAUGCAACCUACCUUCUACAGGGGGAUAGUCAAUAGAAAUGUUGAAUAAUACCCCAUACGAUCUUUGAGUGGCAUUACUUAAAGAGGAAAGCUUCGGCGGUAGAAGAUGGGCAUGCGUCCUAUUAGUUAGUUGGUGAGGUAACGGCUCACCAAGACCGCGAUAGGUAGGGGCCCUGAGAGGGGGAUCCCCCACACUGGUACUGAGACACGGACCAGACUCCUACGGGAGGCAGCAGUGAGGAAUAUUGGACAAUGGAGGCAACUCUGAUCCAGCCAUGCCGCGUGCAGGAAGACUGCCCUAUGGGUUGUAAACUGCUUUUAUACAGGAAGAAACCUACUUACGUGUAAGUAGCUGACGGUACUGUAAGAAUAAGGAUCGGCUAACUCCGUGCCAGCCGCCGCGGUAAUAC
rnacentral:rRNA from 1 species